rnacentral:rRNA from 1 species
GACGUGAAACCGAUAAGGUGGAAACGGAUAGAGCCAACGUAUCUAGCCUGUAUUCAACCGAUUGAUUGCGUAUAAUUUAUGGGGAGUCUCUUCGAUGAAGGAUCCUCGUGGAUGGAAUGUGCCGUCGAUCGGUGCAUUUGCAGGUGGAGUGCGCUGAGGCGUAUGGUUUGAGUUGCAGGAAUCGGUGCAUUGAGGCCUUUGCCUUCGGGUAAAGAAACCUAUGUGCUGAGGAUGGUAAUUUCGGCUAUGCGUAUCGGAAAGGUUUCGGUGAAUUCGCACAAAAUCCUGGCUGGGUCUCUCGCUUGGUCGGUCGCAUGCGACAUGGCCAUGUUGUUGGGUCUCAGUUUGGGGUGGAGUGAUCCGGACUAAUCUUCGGCGUAAAAGUUGGUUAUCUCUCCGACCCGUCUUGAAACACGGACCAAGGAGUCUAGCGUAUGCGCAAGUCAUUGGGUGUUGAAACCCAAAGGCGUAAUGAAAAUGAAGGCACCUUAGUGUGCUUAUAUGCGAUCCGGCGGCCCACGGGGCGUCGGAGCAGCAUAGCCCUAUCCUAACUGCAUGCAGUGGGGUGGCGGUAGAGCGUAUUCGCUGGGACCCGAAAGAUGGUGAACUAUGCCUGAGCAGGAUGAAGUCAGAGGAAACUCUGAUGGAAGUCCGAAGCGGUUCUGACGUGCAAAUCGAUCGUCUGACUUGGGUAUAGGGGCGAAAGACUAAUCGA